UGGGGAAUAUUGGGCAAUGGGCGAAAGCCUGACCCAGCAACGCCGCGUGAGGGAAGAAGGUUUUCGGAUUGUAAACCUCUGUCCUUGGUGACGAAACAAAUGACGGUAGCCAAGGAGGAAGCCCCGGCUAACUACGUG
rnacentral:rRNA from 1 species